rnacentral:lncRNA from 1 species
UUGGCUUCUAUUAUCCCUCCCUCAUGUUAUUUUUCUUCUUCCCCUGUUUCUCUUGUUAUAAGUAUGCGGAGUUAAUCUCUUGGAGCUUUGGUCCCUUCUAUCCAGAGCUUUGUGGUUCUUCAUUUUCAUGAGUGUUUUGUCUGCUCUUGUUUAGUUUUUGAGGUGUUUCUUACCUUUUAGCUAGUGGUUGUGCUUCCGGUGCUUUAGGCAUGUAUCUUUCUGGUUCUUGGUGACUUUGGCCUUCCGAUUAUUAUGCUCUCUCUGGCCUGCUUUCUUGGUUCUUUGCGUUGAUGCUUAAUCGCGAUUCUCAAUAUUUAGGGGAUUGCUUUGUUUCAGAUUUAUCUUUCUAUCCUUUUUUGAUCUCUACUUGUUUUGGCCAAGGCACUUCAUGGUGAAAUGAGGUAAGUUAGUACUCGGUUUUGAUCUCUUUUCAGCUCCGGACUUCUAUUGAAUUAGUGUUACUAUAACAUUAUGAUUGUGGAGGUUUUAGGUUUAAAUUUUGUGUUGUGCUCUAGUUUCUUAUUCUUAGUUUGGUUAUUUUAUAAUUUUAAUAGUAAAAUAAAUAUAUAAUUUGUAAAUAAAAUAAUAGAAAUAGAAAAAUAAUAAAAUGGUGAAAGUUUACGCUAUUUUUAGUUGUGAAUAAAUUGCAUAUUUAAAUUAUAUUUAUAUUAUU